UAAGAGCAGCAUAUUUGUUUGGUGUGGAUGCUUGUUAUCCAAACCCAAAGGCUUUUGAAUGCCACAUUAAUGUGAAGGUACCUGACACCUCUGUAGGGUAGAAUUGGAAGUUUUCUUUGCAGAUGGAAAGUUAUGAUAUAGUGGUUCUUGAUUCAAGAUUGUCUAUAGAGGACUUCAGAACACAGAGCAAUCAG